CCUACGGGUGGCAGCAGUCGAGAAUCAUUCACAAUGGGGGAAACCCUGAUGGUGCGACGCCGCGUGGGGGAAUGAAGGUCUUCGGAUUGUAAACCCCUGUCAUGUGGGAGCAAAUUAAAAAGAUAGUACCACAAGAGGAAGAGACGGCUAACUCUGUGCCAGCAGCCGCGGUAAUACGGAGGUCUCAAGCGUUGUGCGGAAUCACUGGGCGUAAAGCGUACGUAGGCGGUUUCGUAAGUCGUGUGUGAAAGGCGCGGGCUCAACCCGCGGACGGCACAUGACACUGGGAGCCUAGAGUAAUGGAGAGGGGACGAGAAUUCCAGGGGUAGCAGUGAAAUGCGUAGAUAUCGAGAGGAACACUCGUGGCGAAGGCGGGUUCCUGGACAUUAACUGACGCUGAGGCACGAAGGCCAGGGGAGCGAAAGGGAUUAGAUACCCGAGUAGUC
rnacentral:rRNA from 1 species